GAUGAACGCUAGCUACAGGCUUACCACAUGCAAGUCGAGGGGUAACAAGAGAAAAGCUUGCUUUUCUUGUUGACGACCGGCGCACGGGUGAGUAACGCGUAUCCAACCUGCCUAUAACUAGGGAAUAACCUUGAGAAAGUAAGACUAAUACCCUAUGAUUUCCUUUGAUGACAUCAGAUUAGGAAUAAAGAUUUAUCGGUUAUAGAUGGGGAUGCGUCUGAUUAGCUUGUUGGCGGGGUAACGGCCCACCAAGGCAACGAUCAGUAGGGGUUCUGAGAGGAAGGUCCCCCACAUUGGAACUGAGACACGGUCCAAACUCUUACGGGAGGCAGCAGUGAGGAAUAUCGGUCAAUGGGCGGAAGCCUGAACCAGCCAAGUAGCGUGCAGGAUGACGGCCCUAUGGGUUGUAAACUGCUUUUAUACAGGAAUAAAGUUAGCCACGUGUGGUUAUUUGUAGGUACUGUAUGAAUAAGGACCGGCUAAUUCCGUGCCAGCCGCCGCCGUAA
rnacentral:rRNA from 1 species